GUGUGUGUGUGUGUGUGUGUGUAUUUAGCAGUCUGUGUGUGUAUUCAGCAGACUGUGUACUCAGCAGUCUGCUAAAUACAGACUGCUAAGUACACAGACUGCUAAAUACACAUACAGACAG
rnacentral:miRNA from 1 species